CAAAUAUCAACAACAUUGCUUAUCUAUAUUGGGUAAUACUCGUAUGCCAGUGGGAAAGUAAAACUUACAUGGAAAAGCAAAUGAUAUGUGGAAAUUGGCAGAGUUUUUUGUUUUGUAACGAAAUGCAAAUGGUUUCAUCUUGUGAACAAGUAUCAAUGAAAGACAACUUCGUAUAAUCUUCAGAUAUUUUGACUGAGGACAGUGGUGAGAUGAAAGACGUCAGUAUCCAUUGUAAAUACACAUGCAUGCUCUGCUGUAAAAUCGUUUUGGUAUGUGAUUUCAUGGUUGGAUCUUGAGUACUUGUCAUGGCUCUUGAUUUAUUUUGGAGUGUUCACCAUCAGAUUAGAAAUCAAAUAGUGAUACCACUAGGCAUUGUUGAAAGGAAAUGUCCAUACACAGUCUUGGAGUACAUAGUGGUAGAGACAUGGCAGUCCAUUACAGAUUUUGACUAAAUUAAAGCUUCUUAAAGCUCCAUGUCUUGUGUAAACUGUCUGACUGAAUGUUUGUAUUCUAAUAAAAACUAAGGUUGAAGACACUUCAAAGACAUAUGUCAGUGUAAAAAUGUUAAACAAAUAUCU